AUGUUAGCCGUUAUUAUCGUCACCAGGAAGGAGAACCAGAGAAAUACUGAGAGCCGAAUGUAUUUUUUCCCCAGGAUUCACAAACAACAAAACUCAGCCUCAGGGGAGAUAGAUCUUUUCCGCUCUCUUCAGAAACUCAACGGCUUCCAGCUCAGUUUAAAACUGAGCAACGGUCAAGCAUAUCCCCGGCCGGACAGUUGCAUAAGAGAGUGCUCAAGGGAAAUUGACCUAUGUCCCCUGAAAUUGGCAGCCCCAGACCUUCACCCGGAUGGGCCUCAAGCCAGGAGGCUGCAGGAUUUUCCUCUCGCAGGGAGCUAGAAGAGAAGGAAGCUGCAAGUCGACUGUCUGUUGGAGCAAAGGGUGGUAAGUUCCCAUGGGCCAGGUGGAAACCCCAGAUAGCCAGCUUAGAGCCAUCUUGAAAAGAUCCUCACCAACAGGACUGAAUGCCAGCGGAGGGGUCCCCAGCAGGAAGACUACAGGGCAGAAGACUGCAGACGUCUUCACAGAGCCCGGCAAUCAGCUUGUGUGUGUGUGCGUGUGUGUGUGUGUGCGCGUGUGCCAGACAGAGGGAGUCCUGGAUCAGGCCUGAGAGGUGCAGAGAGUGGCUGUGAACUAGAUGAAAGACUGAAGCUUAAUCUCAAUGGUAUGGAAUGCUGAAAUACCAGAAAAUUAGGCAAAUACCCAAAAUGAGUGUAAACAAAACAAAACAAAAUGAAACAGCGAGAGGGCUGCCCGAGGUUUGUGUGCGAGGGAAAAUAAAAAAUAUUUCCUGCUUGUACUUUACCA
rnacentral:lncRNA from 1 species